GUUGUGGUGGCUCAGUGGUUAAGGCUUUGAGCUAUAGCUUAGAAGGUCCAGGUUCAAGUCCUAGCCCCACCA